UAUCCAGUCAUCUGCUGAUGGACAUUUAGGUUGUUUCCAUGUCUUGGCUAUAGUCCAUAGUGCUGCUAUGAACAUUGGCAUUGCAUGUAUCUUUUUGAAUUAAAAGCUCAUACGAAUCCUUCUCAAGCUCUUUCAAAAGACUGAGGAGGAGAGAAUACUCUUAAACUCAUUCUAUGAAGCCACAAUCACCCUGAUACCAAAACCAGAAAAAGACACUACCAAAAAAGAAAAUUACAGGCCAAUAUCAUUGAUGAACGUAGAUGCAGAAAUCCUCAACAACAUAUUAGCAAAUAGAAUCCAACAACACAUAAAAAAGAGCAUAUACCAUGAUAAAGUUGCAUUCAUACCAGGGACACACCAAUGGUUUAACAUGCAAAUCAAUCAAUGUGAUA